GAUGAACGCUGGCGGCGUGCCUAAUACAUGCCAGUCGAGCGAACAGAUGAGGAGCUUGCUCCUCUGACGUUAGCGGCGGACGGGUGAGUAACACGUGGAUAACCUACCUAUAAGACUGGGAUAACUUCGGGAAACCGGAGCUAAUACCGGAUAAUAUAUUGAACCGCAUGGUUCAAUAGUGAAAGACGGUUUUGCUGUCACUUAUAGAUGGAUCCGCGCCGGAUUAGCUAGUUGGUAAGGUAACGGCUUACCAAGGCAACGAUGCGUAGCCGACCUGAGAGGGUGAUCGGCCACACUGGAACUGAGACACGGUCCAGACUCCUACGGGAGGCAGCAGUAGGGAAUCUUCCGCAAUGGGCGAAAGCCUGACGGAGCAACGCCGCGUGAGUGAUGAAGGUCUUCGGAUCGUAAAACUCUGUUAUUAGGGAAGAACAAAUGUGUAAGUAACUAUGCACGUCUUGACGGUACCUAAUCAGAAAGCCACGGCUAACUACGUG
rnacentral:rRNA from 1 species